rnacentral:tRNA from 1 species
GGCGACGUAGCUCAAUGGUAGAGCAGGGGACUCAUAAGCCCUUGGUUGGCCGUUCGAAUCGGCCCGUCGCCACCA